CCUACGGGUGGCAGCAGUGGGGAAUAUUGGACAAUGGGGGCAACCCUGAUCCAGUCAUGCCGCGUGUGUGAAGAAGGCCCUCGGGUUGUAAAGCACUUUCAGUGAGGAAGAACGCCUGGUGGUUAAUACCCAUCAGGAAAGACAUCACUCACAGAAGAAGCACCGGCUAACUCCGUGCCAGCAGCCGCGGUAAUACGGAGGGUGCGAGCGUUAAUCGGAAUUACUGGGCGUAAAGCGCGCGUAGGUGGCUUGAUAAGCCGGUUGUGAAAGCCCCGGGCUCAACCUGGGAACGGCAUCCGGAACUGUCAAGCUAGAGUGCAGGAGAGGAAGGUAGAAUUCCCGGUGUAGCGGUGAAAUGCGUAGAGAUCGGGAGGAAUACCAGUGGCGAAGGCGGCCUUCUGGACGGACACUGACACUGAGGUGCGAAAGCGUGGGUAGCAAACAGGAUUAGAUACCCGGGUAGUC
rnacentral:rRNA from 1 species